GGGUCAGUAGGUUGGUCGUGCCACCGGUACGUACUGGUCUCACUGAUUCCUCCUUCCUGAAGAACCGUAAUGCCAUUAAUUUGGUGUUGCGGGGAAACAGGACUGUUACUUUGGAAAAAUUAGAGUGCUUAAAGCAAGCUAACGCUUGAAUACAUUAGCAUGGAAUAAUGAAAUAGGACGAUCGAUCCUAUUUUGUUGGUUUCUAGGAUUGACGUA
rnacentral:rRNA from 1 species